rnacentral:rRNA from 1 species
UACGUAGGGUGCGAGCGUUGUCCGGAAUUAUUGGGCGUAAAGAGCUCGUAGGCGGUUUGUCGCGUCUGCCGUGAAAGUCCGGGGCUCAACUCCGGAUCUGCGGUGGGUACGGGCAGACUAGAGUGAUGUAGGGGAGACUGGAAUUCCUGGUGUAGCGGUGAAAUGCGCAGAUAUCAGGAGGAACACCGGUGGCGAAGGCG